AACGAACGCUGGCGGCAUGCCUAACACAUGCAAGUCGAACGAGACCUUCGGGUCUAGUGGCGCACGGGUGCGUAACGCGUGGGAACCUGCCCUUAGGUUCGGAAUAACUCCCCGAAAGGGGUGCUAAGACCGGAUAAUGUCUUCGGACCAAAGAUUUAUCGCCGUUGGAUGGGCCCGCGUUGGAUUAGCUAGUUGGUAGGGUAAAAGCCUACCAAGGCGACGAUCCAUAGCUGGUCUGAGAGGAUGAUCAGCCACACUGGGACUGAGACACGGCCCAGACUCCUACGGGAGGCAGCAGUGGGGAAUAUUGGACAAUGGGCGAAAGCCUGAUCCAGCCAUGCCGCGUGAGUGAUGAAGGCCUUAGGGUUGUAAAGCUCUUUUACCCGGGAUGAUAAUGACAGUACCGGGAGAAUAAGCUCCGGCUAACUCCGUG
rnacentral:rRNA from 1 species